GUCGGGGCUCUGCGCGGUCAGGCUGGAGGAGGCGAGCGGCGAUGCGCUGGCAGGAGCCAGGCUGCUGGGGUGCCGUCUCUCUUCUGGCGUCUUCCAGAACUUACGGCGGAGCAGGUGCCCGUGCAAGAGUGAGAUUCAUACACCGGACGAGCAGACAUUGAAAGGACAACGGACCCGUCUCCCUGGAGGAGCCGAGGUUGAUCAGAUGUGCCUGUGGGAAUCCAGACACCACCAGUGACAUCAGGGAUUCGUCGUGUUACCUCGAGCCCAUCUGAAGCGUUCUUUCCAGAACUCAAGUCUAAAUGACAGACCCUGUCCCAUCAGUGAUUUUUCAAGCAUCAGCCCAUUGCAACAAGUGUUCAGUAGAAGUGGCCAGGACAGACGCUCUUGUGUUCCCGAUCUUCCCCCGGGGAGACUGCGGUCACUGUGGGGUCCCCUGAGAAAGUGGAGAAAAUCGAUUGAAACUCCUCUUGUGCUGUAGAGCGGAGGCUGCGCUUAGGAUCAGGGCGACCUGCACACGGGUGCGGGCCUUGGGCCCACGGACCCUCAGGAAGCAUCCUGUCAGAAUCCUGAAGACGAGAGCCUGAGGGGCAUGAUCAGCCGAGUGAGCGCACGGGGUCCUGCCUGUUGUUAGGGAAAUGGCAGGCCAGCCAGGAGACAGCACCGCUCGGAGGGCUGGAGCACUCAGGUUUGUCACGCUGGCGGCUCGGAGGGGCUACGGCUCCUGAGCUCUGAGCGCCUCCAGAAGUGUGAGUGAGGGUUUUGCAGGGUCACUUCCAAGCUCGGGGUCCAUCAACCAAUAGGGUGAGUGCAGCGAGGCGGUGUCACAGCAGCGGAAGCAAAGGGUUGCUUGCAGUCACCCGAAACCGGUCUGCAGGGUGAGACUUAAACUCCGUGCGUUAGCCCAGCCCAGCUUGGCCCAGCCCAAGCGUUUCCUUCUCACUGUCACCUCUGUCGUGAGGGCUGCUUCAGUUAUCUAGAGAACACACCUCUGCAGCUUUUUAUCAAUGCAAGUUUUCUAACGCCCUUCAGGGGUUUGCAUGUGUGUGAGUGUCUUCGUGGGAGGAUCUAGUGACUGCAGGGCGCGAGCUGUGAGAGGCAUUUCUGAGCCCUCACCGCCGUCCCCCCCUGGGGUCCGGCCUGUAGAACCCUGCGUCCCAGGCUGUGCUGAAGUGACGGCCUGUCCUCGCACGGCUGGAAGCUGAGUGACGUUUAAUGUACACUUGGUGAUGUGUUAGCUGCGUCUUGUUUUAUACCUGCGCUUUCAGGGGCCUCCACUGCCGUGUGCGCACCUCUCUCCCCCCGAUUGGAGAAACUG